rnacentral:misc_RNA from 1 species
AUGGGAUAAAAGGGUCGAGGAAAUGAAAGCUGCUGUAUCACUAGAAACUGAAGAAGACGAGGAGAAGCCAAAACUUCUGAUGGCCAGUCAUUUCCUAUAGAUUCAACUUCCAAGUAUCCGAUACAGGCAGGAUGCUGCACUCUUCAAUCAUUGUUUGUUCUAGAUACAAGGAUCCAAACACACAUUACUCGGAGAAGCAUUUUGACAUCAGUAGCAUAUUCAGGUUUUUUUGAGAUCAGAGCUAGACUCCCGCUAUGCUUGAGGAUUGGAUGGUGAUAAAUUGUAUCGAUGAUGCUAGCCUUAAACAUUAGCCACUUAUGAACUGCUUUGGGAAAUGCCGAGCUGAAAAUUAACAUCCCUAGUAGCACAAGGAACAGGUGCUCAAGAGGGGCGAAUAACCUAUUCUGGAUGAUGGGUUACAACUUACAAGGUGCCCUUUUAGUCCAAUCAGUCGAUCAACUCACCUGGGUCCCAAGCAGGUUUCGGAAGGUGCCUAUUAGUGAAAUUUUGUAAAUUAUUCCCCUACACCAGCUCGAACCCCCUUCUCUAUCCAUUAAAGUCCCAUCCAGAAUUUUGUAAUAUCUGGAGAUUCAACUUCCUCUGUUUCAGAAUACUGUUGCAGGGAUGUUAUAGUGAUGAUCUUAUUGUCAUAAUUAAUAUUUGGG